rnacentral:rRNA from 1 species
CAGUAGCCGCGGGAAUACGUAGGGUCCGAGCGUUGUCCGGAAUUACUGGGCGUAAAGAGCUCGUAGGUGGUUUGUCGCGUUGUUCGUGAAAACUCACAACUCAAUUGUGGGCGUGCGGGCGAUACGGGCAGACUGGAGUACUGCAGGGGAGACUGGAAUUCCUGGUGUAGCGGUGGAAUGCGCAGAUAUCAGGAGGAACACCGGUGGCGAAGGCGGGUCUCUGGGCAGUAACUGACGCUGAGGAGCGAAAGCGUGGGGAGCGAACAGGAUUAGAUACCCGCGUAGUCCCUGUCUCUUAUAU